UUGAAAGGGAAACGAUUGAAGUCAGUCGUACCGACGAGAAAUCAGCUUAUCGUGUGUGAACUUGUGGGCGUGCGUGAGUUUCGGCCUCGCUGUUUGCAUGUUUGUGCGCUUUGGGUGUACUUUUUCGUAUGGUAGGCCAACAUCAGUUUCGAUUACUAUAAAAUGACUGGCGGAAUGUAGCUUCGAUUUCGGUUUAAGUGUUAUAGCCUCUGGUAGAUGUGGUGAUUGGGACUGAGGAUUGCAACGAAUAUCCUUUGGGCUAUCCGUCUGGCCUCUGAAAGUUGCUUGGGUGCUGAAAGCUUGCUUAUGGUUAUCUAAGUUAACGGUCAAUAGGUUAGAACGCGAUUACAUUCGUUAAGGAUGUUGACGUA
rnacentral:rRNA from 1 species